GAGGAGCCUGCUGCCGAUUAGCUAGUUGGCGGGGUAAAGGCCCACCAAGGCGACGAUCGGUAGCUGGUCUGAGAGGACGACCAGCCACACUGGGACUGAGACACGGCCCAGACUCCUACGGGAGGCAGCAGUGGGGAAUUUUUCGCAAUGGGCGCACAUGACGAAGCAAUGCCGCGUGGAUGAAGAAGGCCUUCGGGUUGUAAAGUCCUUUCGUGGGGGACGAAAAGGUGGGUUCUAAUACAAUCUGCUGUUGACGUGAACCCAAGAAGAAGCACCGGCUAACUCCGUGCCAGCAGC
rnacentral:rRNA from 1 species